rnacentral:rRNA from 1 species
UACGUAGGGUGCAAGCGUUGUCCGGAAUUAUUGGGCGUAAAGAGCUUGUAGGCGGUUUGUCGCGUCUGCUGUGAAAUUUCGGGGCUCAACCCCGAACUUGCAGUGGGUACGGGCAGACUAGAGUGUGGUAGGGGGAGACUGGAAUUCCUGGUGUAGCGGUGAAAUGCGCAGAUAUCAGGAGGAACACCGAUGGCGAAGGCAGGUCUCUGGGCCAUAACUGACGCUGAGGAGCGAAAGCAUGGGUAGCAAAC